rnacentral:rRNA from 1 species
UAGGGAAUCUUCCGCAAUGGGCGAAAGCCUGACGGAGCAACGCCGCGUGAGUGAUGAAGGUCUUCGGAUCGUAAAACUCUGUUAUUAGGGAAGAACAAAUGUGUAAGUAACUAUGCACGUCUUGACGGUACCUAAUCAGAAAGCCACGGCUAACUACGUGCCAGCAGCCGCGGUAAUACGUAGGUGGCAAGCGUUAUCCGGAAUUAUUGGGCGUAAAGCGCGCGUAGGCGGUUUUUUAAGUCUGAUGUGAAAGCCCACGGCUCAACCGUGGAGGGUCAUUGGAAACUGGAAAACUUGAGUGCAGAAGAGGAAAGUGGAAUUCCAUGUGUAGCGGUGAAAUGCGCAGAGAUAUGGAGGAACACCAGUGGCGAAGGCUACUUUCUGGUCUGUAACUGACGCUGAUGUGCGAAAGCGUGGGGAUCAAACAGG